GAGAAGCCUAAUGCCACGUGGCUGAAACUUUGGAAGAAUCAAACUCAGGCUUGUGACAGCUAAAACACACUUACCACGUCUUUUAAAUGUAAAAACAGAGAGUGAGAAGGAAGAGGAGGGAGGAAAGGACGGAGAACAUUUCUUCACAAUCACCGUGAUGGAGGAAUCACACAUCAUCAGGGAGACACAUGCUCAUUUAAAUUGGUCCACUGCAGGCUAUGAUAAAGUGGUCACUAGGAUCCUUCGAAUGACUGGAGUACGUAUCAUCGAGUAUAAGAAGAAGUGCUUUCUGAAUGAUGCCGUCACAUGAUCCAUGAUAGUGAAGACAUAAAAAAUAACAGAAUAUUGCAAACUUCUUUAUUUUGGCCUGUGUAAUCACAGAUUUACCUACAACAGGAUAAAUGAAUUCAUAUUAUGAAACUGAAACACACUGGUAAAUAUAACAUGCUCCAUAUAAAUGGUGCAAGAGAAUCCCCAAAGGCAAGAGGAGUGCAGGAGGACCCAGGCCAAACCAUUCCUCCGUGGCAGUCUUGUUCCUCAGUCCUUCUGCUUAUAUGGGUGGGGAGGCGAAAGGAGAAAGGAAUGAGGACAGGAAAAAAGCAACAGCUGUGAAAGAUGGGGCCAAGCAGACGUGAAAACUGAAGCUGUACUCAGGCCAUUUUCCUUCUGGGGAAUCUUAACACCAAGCUGCACCUAACAAUUGUUCUACCCAAGCAACACUGCAAGAAAGCAGACAUGAGGAGGAUAGAGGCACAGGAGGUUAAUGGAAGGCCCUCACUGAAAGCCCUGGCCCACAGAAUGUGCCUCCCAAACUGUGUGAGGCCUGCGAGCGUUCUGUGUACAAGAGACCAGCCCUGUCUCAGGUACCAAGCGGAAAUAGUCAAUAGCCCAUCAACCGACAGGGGCAGCCUGGGGCACCUGCUGAUUCUUGCAGUGAUGAUCUGUGUUACUUAACUUGACAUCAGUGUGGGGAUAUUCUAAAGGACUACAGAAAGGAAGUGUGCUGGGGGAUGGGCAGAAGAGCCCCGCUAGAUUAAAGAGCAUGGAUGGGAUUCCUGGCAGGCAAAAUCUUGCUUAAUUUGCCUGAAGUUAAUUGAUUAGAGAUAGUGCUCUCAUAACUAUUGGAAGGAAAACAACUGGGUGAGCUGCCAGGCUGAGUCAGGAAGUCACCUGCUGGAGCUGAGGCCAAGAGGAGACAGUGCUGCCUAACCAAAGGCCUUCUCAGAACUAGCAAGUUGAGUCACAGAAAGGCAGAGAACACAAAAAACAAUAAAUAAAAGGACAACAGGUCAAAUCUAGUCACCAUGAAUUCUGAAGGAAUUAUUUUAUUUCUGGGAAUUUGGCCUGAACAAAUCUCACUUUAUUUCUGGGAAUUUGGCUAGAAUAAAUCUUAGCAAAAGGGGACCAUUCAUUCAAGGUGAUUUGUCCUCAAAGGAUUCCCUUCAUUCCUUCAUUCAGCUGGAAGUCCUGGUGCACUGGAGCCCAUGGUUUUUAUCUUUAAGUCCCCAGGGGAACAAUGCUGGGGUAACCAUCCAGAUGGGAAAUAGAAUUCCUGGCUUGAUAGUUUCAUAUCCCCUGCUUUCCUAUGGGCUCAAGGAGGCAGGCCGCAGACCACUGCGUCUCUGGGAUUUCUCCUGGUACAAUGCUGGGCACUCAGUGGUUCUUAUUGGAUGGUGCUGAAUUUGAAUGACAGCAGACAGUUUGGGUCUUAGACUACUGCCUCAUGCACUUUCCCAGAAAAGAAUGAUAAAUUCAAAAGGCCCUGCUAUGUCCCUAGUGCCGCACCUUCCCAGCUCUUAUCUCUAGACAAGGGCUCAGGGGCUCAAGGAGAAGCUGUCUGGAAGGCAAUCAUAUCUGGGAAUUAACCUGGAAAUAACUGUCUAAUGCAGAGCAAAAGGAAGAAUAAUGUGCCUGAGACAUGCAAGUUACGAACGAGGAGGCUCAGUUCAUGGUGUGUGUCUGUGUGUGUGUGUGCGCGCGCGCGUGCACGUGCAUGUGUGUGUGUUUUCAAGUACAGGAGAUACUACAAAAAGACUUCAAAGCAUUAUCAAUUGCAUUAUUUAUUGGUCCAAAAAAUGUAUUCCAGCAGGAAGAGAGAAAAGAAAGAGGAUAAAGAUUAAAGCACCAGGAAUAAAUUAAGAAUCAAGGAAGGGGGCCAUUUGUAAAUGUUUCAUGUAGUAAAUUAAACAGGCUACUUCACAAAAGAUGGAGGAGAUAAGGUGAGUUCCUGGCCAAAGCAAGAGUCAUGGGGAGUAGAAGAAAGAGGGAAGAAAGAGAUGAGAUCCUGGAGCUAGACGGAGCUGUCCUUUCCUAGUAGGUGUCAGGAGAGGCACUGUGUAACUGGUUUCCCUUCAGUUGCUCAGAGGCUACUAAGUGCACAAUCAUAGCCAGUCCGAGUGUCCUGAAAGAGGCCCUAGGGUGGGGGUGGUACAAUGAAGGGGAGAGCAGCUUUCCCAGCAAGGCGAGGCAGCCUCACAGAAAGCCUUUGGAAUCAGAUCUCUAGUAGGCUCUUCCAUUCAGGUAGAAAGAGGUAUUCCUGAUCACCACCUUAGCCUUGGCAGCCAGAAAGACUGGGAUUCUCCAUUGGCCUAGGAAGAUCUGACAAUCUAGGGGUCCUGGUUACAGCCUGAGCAGUGGGCUGAGGAACCCUCCAUCCCUCGCAAGAAGCCAGGGUGACCGCAUGGAAGUGAGGAAUCUGGAAGUCUAGGACAAGAACGCCUAUUUUUAGACUUGGGGACAGGACUGGGACUGACACAGCCUCUGGCCUGCCUAUCAAGAGAAAUCUUUACUGUUUAAAUAUUUCAACAGCCACAAGUCUGCAGGUGAUCCAUCUAAACUGUGAAGCAGAAUCAGCAUCAGAGUUGGAAGUGACUCUACUCAUUGACCCCCAAAAUAUCAAGUGCCU
rnacentral:lncRNA from 10 species